AUAGUAUAAAUUUAUUAAGCAAGCUUAAGCAGGAGCAUGUGACAUACAAAUCAAUAAUCAAUUAUAUAUAAUUUCAAGAGCAGUAUAAUAAAAUCAACAUGUAUAACCAUACGAUCCUGUCUCUCUUUCCUAACCUAUGUCGCAAUUUCUGAGAUAGACUUUUAUGGAGCAGAUUCAACUCAUAACCAUUUGAUGGUGGAUCUUGGCAACAGAAUCAUUCAGAAUCCUUGGUCAGAGUCUUUGUCCUUAUGUGGAAAAAUCCUCCUUAGAAUAGAAGCAAAGCAGAACGGGUCCAAAUCCUUUGAAAACCCAGCUCUUUAUCCCUCAGGGAUCUUUGUCUUUCUCCAAGUCUGUUGCAGAGUUUGAGAUCGUUGGGUCAAGGCAGGGCCGACGGUCGAAUCAGGAACCAGGGCUGGGGCGGUAGGAUCUUGUCCCUUCUUAGCGGCGCGAAGUCUCAACUUCCCCGUGGCUCCGAGAUGCGGUCCUCUGCUGUUCCUCAAUCUGCUUCUCCGUGUUGACUCAUCUCCAGCGCCGCGGACUAAGAACAGAUGCUUCCUCAUUUCAGCCCUCUUUUAUACGUUUUUCUACCAUAGGUGUGUAUGGAGAGCUUGGUCUACGUGACUUUCUGAACAUCUGCUGAUUCGUGUGGAAAGCCCCGAUGGUCCCCAACCUGUUAGCUAAGUCUUGUGAAAGUCCCAUCUUUCCCCAGCUUGCGACAUAUCCUGACAGCAGGCCUUUACACCCCUUUUCUGCGUGUACCUGGAAAGAUCUCAUAACCCCAUGCCAGUUUUCUUGACAAAUGUCAAAGGUCAUGGAGAGUCUCCAUCCAGCAGGAUCUCUGUCAAAGAGAAACCUCCAACCACCUCUCCACCUUCCUCCUCCUCCUCUUCCUCAGUCACACCUGAUCCAGGUUCUACCUCCAUCCUUCCCAUUGUUGGAUCUGUUAGUGGUUUGGUUAUCCUGGUGUUACUGGUUGUUCUGGUUUUACUGGUGAAACAAGUUCAUAACAAA